AACGAACGCUGGCGGCUCCGAUAGGCAUGCAAGUCGUACGCGAAAGUCUCCUUCGGGGGAUGAGUAGAGUGGCGAACUGGUGAGUACAAGGUGACUAACCUGCCCUUGAGUGGGGGAUAACUUCGGGAAACCGAAGCUAAUACCGCAUGGUUUCUUGAUCUCUCGGGGUUGAGAAAAAGCAGUAAUGCGCUCAAGGAUGGGGUCACCCCCCAUUAGCUUGUUGGUAGGGUAACAGCCUACCAAGGCUACGAUGGGUAGCUGGACUGAGAGGUUGGCCAGCCACACUGGGACUGAGAUACGGCCCAGACUCCUACGGGGGGCAGCAGUCUAGAGGCUUCGACAAUGCCCGAAAGGGUGAUCGAGCGACGCCGCGUGUGGGAUGAGGGUUUUCGGAUUGUAAACCACUUUUGUUUGGGAAGAAGGCUUGUAUCGUGAAUAUGAGGUUGACGGUACCAAACGAAUAAGCCCCGGCUAACUCCGUGCCAGCAGCCGCGGUAAGACGGAGGGGGCAAGCGUUGUUCGGAAUCAUUGGGCGUAAAGGGCUCGUAGGCGGACUUGUAAGUCUGGCGUGAAAUCUCCACCGCUCACCGGGGAGAGGUCGCUGGAUACUGCAAGUCUUGAGUUCGGUAGAGGGUCGUGGAAUUUCGGGUGUAGCGGUGGAAUGCGU
rnacentral:rRNA from 1 species